CGGGGGAUGGUGUAAUUGGUAAACACGCUUUUAAUAGUUUAUUAUAAUAAACUUACAAGCACAAUUAUAUUGUCAUAUGGGAGACAGUUAUAGAGGUUCGAGUCCUCUUCCCCCGA
rnacentral:tRNA from 1 species